rnacentral:sRNA from 1 species
GUUAACAUUUUGAUUAUGGGUGUCAAAAUGGGUCAAAAUUUAUGGGUCAACUCAAUUCAACUCAACCCAUGAACUCUAAUGAGUUCAAAAUUUUGACUCAAAUGAGUUGAUGGGUCAAAUGAGUUGAUGAGUCAAUUGGUUUGAUGAGUAAAAUUAGUUGGGUUGUAAUGGUUAAUGGUACUAUGAGAUCAUUUCAAAUUUUUUGAUACAUGGUGUUUUCCUCCCAAAUAUAUGACUAUAAUAUCACUAAAUACUAUGAGAUCUCGUAGAGUUGUUGAGUACGAUAAAAGAAUCUAUGAAAAAAGAACUUAAAUAAAGAGGUAUACGUUUGACAAAAAAAA